UAGUUGCUAUCAUGUAACAGCCAUACAUACAAGAUCUACCCGUGCAGUCUGCCAUAUAUGAGCCAUUGAACAGUGCUUUGCUCGAGGAAGGAACUGAAGAGUUUACUGUCAAAGGUUAUGCUUGGAGUGGUGGGGGACGUGGUAUCGUCAGAGUUGAUGUUUCUCCUGAUGGAGCUAACCGAUGAGAGAGUAACUUGUGUUGAUAAAUGUUUGUGUCCACAGGAAAAACAUGGCAAAAAGCUGAUCUGAAGAAGAUGGAGAAACCUGAUGGUAAGGCAUUGGGAUGGAUUCUUUGAUUGUGCGUCACUUCAAAAGACUGUCUUCUCAAAAUUUCGCGUUUUCUUAUUAAAAGACCGAACUUGGAACAACAAGUGGGACUGCAAUUGAUUUUGAUUUACAUGUUGAUGACCCUCUUUUAAUGAACAAUGAUCGCAUUUCUUUCACAUCAUGCACUGCUCGAAGUCGAAGAAAAGGAUUAAAUGCCCUCAGAAGUUGAUCUCACGAUAUAAAAAGUGUAAAGCAAUGUUGCAGAGAAAGUACAAAUGCUGGAGGAAGAGAAUAAGAGGUUGAUUGUACUAAAUCAACUAAAUACAAUCUUGUCAGGACUGAAUGAAGCUGGUAUGAAUGUGUACAGUGAUGAAUUUUUUACUAACCAAGUAUUUGCAUUUUCAACAUUUCUCCGGUGUAGAUUUUAAAUACAUAAGUAGUUUGUAACCUCUUUGUUUUUGAAUUAGGCAAAAGAUCUUCUUAAUUAGCUUGGCAGGGCAGAAAAAUCUUUUGUAAAAAUUUGAACUUUUACAUAAUUGGAAGUUUAAAGAUAAAUUCAUUUGUAAAUAUUGCUAACAAAGCCUGAAUACAAUUUGAAAUGUUUGAUAUUCAAACCGAAAUACGCAAAGGCAUUACGCCCAAUUGUCUUUUGGUAGCUAAUAGUACUUGCAACUAUGAAAGUUGUUAACAACACAAAGGUGGUUUAAGCACCAUUAAUAAGUCAUUGAUGAUCACGAUAAAAAGAAGAAUAUAAUUCAACAAAUUGAUGUAAAUAUGAUACUUACACACAUAAUAUAUUCGAUGAAUAGCUUUAUAUUAUUCAAAACAAA